GCGAAAGAUACGGUGAUAGUGGAAGGGGGAGGAGAGCAGUGGAACAAGAUGAAGAGGAACAGAACCAAGUGUCUGUAAUGACGGUUCUUGUGGCAGCGCUUAGGAAAUCAACAGCGGCUUGCACCUCAUCGGACAACUUCUUUUCUUCUUCCUUCCCAUGUCUUCUUCAAUAUCUCUUCCCUCUGUCUUAUUUCUCUUCCUUUCUUUUGUAUUUUCUGAGUAUAUGAGCAGGUGAUGUAUGUGUGGGGCUAGAUGAAAGUGAAGAUGAAGGCUAGGAGCAGUAGCUCCACGAAAACAUCCCACCGAAGAAGGCUCAACAAAGAUACAGUAAUUUGGCACUAAUGGCAAUGACGAAUAAGGUCCACAAGUGACAAUGAAAGCAACAAUAGAGGUGGUUGAGAUUGGGAUGAACAAGAUUUAUUUGUGCCUCUGCUUCUGCUAUGGUUGAAGAAGGAGGAUUGAAAGUAGUGAAAUUGUAGCAACGGUGGCUUGCAGAGGAGGUAGUGGUGGCAAAGAUUAGGAGAAUUGGGUGUAGAUAGGGGGUAAAUGAAAAUGAGACAUGAGAGAAUAAUGUUGAUGGAGAAGAGAAUGAGAUGAAAAAAUGAUAAUAGAGGUGUGAUUCAUGUAAAAAUGUUAUAUGAUCAUUCAAUUAAAUUCAUAUUUUUAA